rnacentral:rRNA from 1 species
AGAGACAGCAGCAGCCGCGGUAAUACGAAGGGUGCAAGCGUUAAUCGGAAUUACUGGACGUAAAGCGUGCGUAGGCGGUUUGUUAAGUCUGUUGUGAAAUCCCCGGGCUCAACCUGGGAAUGGCAAUGGAUACUGGCAAGCUAGAGUGUGUCAGAGGAUGGUGGAAUUCCCGGUGUAGCGGUGAAAUGCGUAGAGAUCGGGAGGAACAUCAGUGGCGAAGGCGGCCAUCUGGGACAACACUGACGCUGAGGCACGAAAGCGUGGGGAGCAAACAGGAUUAGAUACCCCAGUAGUCCCUGUCUCUUAUAA